CCAGUCAUGAAAAAGUAGAUUAGAUUCACUAUCCUCCAUUAAUAGAUAGACAAUCUUGUCUUACUAAUAAAAGUCUCUAUUUAGGGACUCCUACUACUAUUUUUGAGUACUCAUUUAAAAAUUUAAGGGAAAUUUUUGUGUUUUUAAUGGAAUAAUGCCUCCAAUGGUAAAGUUCUUAUAGUAUAAUCUCUAAAUUUGAAGUUUUUAUGAUUUUAUGUGAUAAUUUGAUUGGGUGCACAUUUUUUUGUUUAUGUUAACUUUUUUUUAAUUAAUUGCAAAAAAAAAAAAAGAUGUUAAUUUGGUAAAUAUGGUAGCAAAAUACCAAGAGAUGAUUUAUGAUCAAUAGUAAAGAUUCAUAUUGAUCGUUCCAUGAAGCAACGAAUAGUGUGUCUGGUGCUAAGUGAGAGAGAAAGAGAGGACAACUAUUAUUCCUAUCUAUAGUGAGAGACGAUUUUCUACACCCAAAAUGGUUGUGGUCAUGGCCUCAAUUAUUGACUAACACGUAUUAAGUUUAUGACAGCAAAGUUAAAAAAAAUUAAGUUUAUGAAUACGUAUUAAUCAAUAAUUAGGGUCAUAGAGAGGCCACACCCAAGUUUGGGUGCAGCAGAUCCUCUCUCCUCUAGCCAUGGGAGCUUUGUUUUGGCCAUUCAAAAAUUAGCAUUCUAAAGAACGGAAAAUUCUAGAGAUGUUUUGUUCUUAGAAAAUAUUUUAUAGACAAUAUGAUGUGGAGUUUAUGAUUGGCUUGUGAUGAACAUGCUGGGGUCCUGAUAAUUAGCAAUUCUUAUAGCCCUAGGUGGAGAUAGUUUUGCACAAAUUUAGGCUAAAUUAAGUGAGCUAUAUAUAGCCCUCGGUUGGAGAUGGUUCUAAAAUUGACAAUUACAUAAUAGUCAUAACCAAGGAAGAAAAUAUCGGUAAUAUCGGAAAUAUCGGUAGUCCGAAAACACGGAAAUAGCGAUGGAAAUAUCGGGAUAAUAUCGAUAUCGAUAAAAAUUACAUGGAAACCACGGAAAUUGUAAGAAAAACUUGGAAAUUUUUAUUGAAACUUUGCAGGAUGUUAUUUAGUCAAUUAUCUAUUAGUUUAUCACAAAAAAUUGGAAGGAA
rnacentral:lncRNA from 1 species